rnacentral:rRNA from 1 species
ACGGAGGGUGCAAGCGUUAAUCGGAAUAACUGGGCGUAAAGGGCAUGCAGGCGGUUAAUCAAGUAGGAUGUGAAAGCCCGGGGCUCAACCUCGGAAUUGCAUUCUAAACUGGUAAACUAGAGUAUUGCAGGGGGAGACGGAAUUCCAGGUGUAGCGGUGGAAUGCGUAGAGAUCUGGAAGAACACCAAAGGCGAAGGCAGUCUCCUGGGCAAAUACUGACGCUCAUAUGCGAAAGCGUGGGUAGCAAACAG